AAACCAGGGAUUAGAUACCCUAUUAUAAAAAGCCUUAUAAUAAAUUCUAAAUAGUAGUACAAUAAAAAUGUAUAAACUUAAAUAACAUGGCGGUAAUUAUAAACUUUAGGGGAACUUACUUAUUAAUGGAUAACCACCCAGAAAUCUUACCAUUGAAUUAAAGCUUGUAUGCCGUCGUCAUCAGAAACUUUUUUAAAAGGUUUCACAGAUUAAUUAUCAGAAUAUGACAGAUCAAGGUGCAGCUAAUAUAAUGGUUUUAGCGAGUUACAAUUAUAAUUUUUAUCGGAAGUCUCUUUGAAAAAGUAAUGGAAGAUGGACUUAAAAGUAAAAAAUAAUAAAUAUAAUUUAAUUGAAUUUUUUAUAGUUGUGUACAUAUCGCCCCGUCGC
rnacentral:rRNA from 1 species